UGUUCCUCUCCACAGUUUAUUCGCACCCCGGUUUCGAAAGCCACACACACCUAAUUCCAAUAGCUCCGGCGUGCGAAAAUUUUUCACUGUAGAGCACCCCGGUGACAACACAGGACCGACUGGUUUAAGCCACGAAAAAGCAAAGACAAAAACAAACACGAUGGUGUGCAUAAUAAUAGCAUCAACAAACGAUGAAUGUUUCGGGCGAGUGGAUCAGCUUCGUAUGUAUUGGUAAACGCAACAAGCCAAGCCAGCUGCCGUCGCUGUCGCUCUCCGUGGUGAAACCUUUUUUUCACUAUAGUGUGUGUUCGCUCUGUCGUGUUGAUUAACAGAUUCUCUACAGAGGUUUGGCUAAAAAUCUCUGCGGUGCGUUUCAGUGAAUCUCUACCGAGAAUCGAAAACCGAGCACGUCGGUGAUUCUCUUUAGAGAAAUGGCAAGCCUGUUAGCGCCUCCUGUUGAUACUUUGCUGCAGUGAUGAGUGCUACUGUUAGAAAGGGAUUGCUACCACAUUUGAGCUACGCACCGUUUAUAAUAAAUAAUGAACUUUUGGAAGAAAAUAAUAUUCUUUAAAAACGGCUUAAGCAAACUAUAAAUGGUAAAACAUGACUGAAUACGCCGGGUGGCUGUGAUACUUACUGAUGUUUGGCCUACAACAAGUAGUUCAAACUGGUUCCUAACAAUCACCAAUUCCGGUGCCGUAAAUUAAUUGUUCCAACUGGCACUUAAAUCCUUGUGCACCGGUUUCAUGCUAGAAAACCAAGUCAAAUUUAAACCAGCAAACCACUUCCGGAACCUAUGACGAAGGUAUUUUCACUGACCACACUGACUUGACUCUUAGAACAAAAAUUCAACCAUUUUCUGUCUAAUUUUUUGUUGUCCGUUUUUGCAGGUUCGCAAUACCGACGGCAGGUGGCGAAUCUGAAAAAUUUGACAAAAAAUGCCCUGUAGGAAAAAUGGUCCUGUUUAGCCCGAUUUUAUCGUAGAAAUUGCGUGUUUUAUUUUUAAAGUUGGGUGGCAUUUCCUAACUGGGAUAGCAUUUCUUCAAAUCGAUCGAUGCGCACUCUGGAAUCGACAUUGCGUACUGUUGGAAAAAUAUUUUUUUUUUGUUUUUUUUUCUGGAAAAAUUAUCCAGAAAACGAAAUCGAGUGUCCAGUCAGCACUGACCACACUGACUUGACUCUUAGAACAAAAAUUCAACCAUUUUCUGUCUAAUUUUUUGUUGUCCGUUUUUGCAGGUUCGCAAUACCGACGGCAGGUGGCGAACCUGAAAAAUUUGACAAAAAAUGCCCUGUAGGAAAAAUGGUCCUGUUUAGCCCGAUUUUAUCGUAGAAAUUGCGUGUUUUAUUUUUAAAGUUGGGUGGCAUUUCCUAACUGGGAUAGCAUUUCUUCAAAUCGAUCGAUGCGCACUCUGGAAUCGACAUUGCGUACUGUUGGAAAAAUAAUUAUUUUUUGUUUUUUUUUUCUGGAAAAAUUAUCCAGAAAACGAAAUCGAGUGUCCAGUCAGUAUGGUCAGUGGUAUUUUGUACCCGAAGUAAGGUAUGAAAAAACUGGAAUAAAAGAAAAAUACAACAUGAGAACUGUUUCAAGAAUUCAUCAAUUAAUUCAAUCUUACCGUAAUUGCUGAACAGGACUUCCGGAAGGAGUUUCUUUCCGAGGUUCUGCUUAAUGCUUUCCAUAGCUGCUGCUAGCAAUAGGUUAUGGUUGACAUAAGUACCGAAUUGAUUAUUUUACGCCUUUCACCCAAGACUUCGACUACACUUUUUGUUAUUUUAUAAAAGGAGUCCACUGCAUUACACAAAACUAUUUUGAUAAACGAAAAAUUUUAACCCCGCGCAUUAAACGAAAAAAUAUACAACAAAUAAGGUAACCUAAAAACUGACUGAGCUCAAAACAUAUGGUGAAAAAGAGACAAAACAUCUUGUUGUUAUUUUAUGCAUGAUAGCAAGAGACAACAAAUUUUACAAGACGCGUGCCUUACGUGAUUCAGGAGACCAUUGUUCCGACUUCACUCGAUUCUUUUGAAUUCGUGUGCUCUCGUAGCAAUUUUGUCUCGGAUUUCAGGAGAGAUGAAGUGUUCCGAGAUUCGGAUGAGUUCCCAUUCGAAAUUCGUCUAAAUUGAGCAAUUUCCCUGUGGUUCGGAAAGUCAUUAUCCCGAGCGGAAUAAUUGCAAUCUUAGUGUGUAGAUAUUCCAUGAAAGAUACUUAUCAAAUCUUUUUUUUCAUGUGGCGGACGAUCAACACGCAGGCAAAUUCUUAUUAUGAUUCUCAUAAGAUGCAUCUUAUGAACCGCUUUUUAGAGUGUAAAAUUGAUUUUCAUAAGAGUCUUAUGAAAUUCUUCCAAUUUUCGAAGUAAGUUCUUAUGAAAAAUAGAAGAAGCGGCAUUGUGAAAAAAUAAUGAACGCAUUCAUACAUCAGUCAUUAUUUUUCAUCGUCACACGAGGCGUGAAACCAUUAUAAUUUUCCUCAGACACGAAUGCCACAAGGAUGGUAAAGUGUCGUAAAUAAAAAAAAAAAAAAAUAUAUAAUUUUCCUAAAAGAUAAGUGAUUAUCUCAUUCUAAAUGCAUAUUGACCGGGUAAAAGUAAAAACUCAAAGAAUCCGAUGCGGCAGAAUAAAUGUGUUGGAACCGGAUGUUUGUGUGCUGCUGUUAGUGCUAAUGGUGUAACAAACUAGAUAGAAACAAGCUAGAAAAUAAAUAAAAUGUUUUUAAUAUCAA